AAUUUCGUGCAUAGGCCGCCACGGUGUUAUCCCAAGUCACCGGACCAACUCCCACGGCCGCUCGAGCUGUGUUAUGGGCAUUAACGUAGUCUUUAGGUGAGUCUUGGGCAUGCAAGGGAAUAGUUAAGGUACAUAAGUUCUACAACGAUGGAGUUCACUAACAGAUAAAUAAAAAUAAAUUUUUGUACAUUUAUCUAUUUUAUGAAUUAAUACUAAAAUUAGAGAAUUCUUUUCUUGCUCUGUCGUGAUAGAAGCAAAGCUUUUCGGAUAAAAAAAAAACCUGAGUCUUGCAAGUAAUUGCCAGGAGGGUCAUAGUUGCAAGUAAUGAAAGUUCCUCCAUUGUUGCACUUCGCCUUAAAAUAGAUUCUCAUAUCCUUAUAUUUUCAGUCUGAAAUACUUUGUACCCCUUCCAUCCAUUUUUGCAAUUUUAGAUGUUAAAUUACUAUGAAAAUGAUGUUAAAAGCUACAAUAUGCAACUCUAUUUUCAAUCACCUCUACUCCUUCCUGUUCCUCUCUAAUGAUCCAACACUUUAGAUAAGUUUUAAAUGAUUUUUUUUUCCUCUCGAUCAUAUUACCUAAACUAUUUCUAUUUUAUCAAGUCGUUUAUCAAAACUUAUAGUUGGAGUUUUAUAUUUGCAUUGUUGCAACAACUGUUGUGGAAAUUGGGCUUUUUCCACCAAAAGCAAUUUGUGAAUUACUGUACUUACUAACUACACUAAGUAAAUUCCCAGGUAAGUGGAGGAGUCACAAAUGGUCUCACUUAAAACCCACUUGCCUAGACAGAAUUUACCUAGAAGUAAUUAAUUAGACAAUAACCACCAAAAAUAUUUUUGCCCAACAAUAGCUAUUAAAUAAAUAAAGACAAAAGCAAUAAAUAAAAGAGAAUACCAAAAUUUAACGAGGUUUGGCCAAUUUUGCCUACGUCCUCGGCCACUACCAAAUUUAUAUUUCACUAAAGAAAUAUACAAAUUGAGAGAGGAGAGAAACUUGUCUAACCCACUUAAGAAUUGGAAGACAAGUUUUGGAAUGAAUAAAACUUAAGGAGCUAAGCUCCUUUUAUAGCCAAACAACUUCCUAUUCCCUUCCCUUUCUUUCGAUGUGGGAUUUGCAAGCCACCUAACCAAUAUAGCAAUUCUUUAUUCUCUAUUCAAUUUACUUCUACACAUUUGGUUAGCUUGUAUACCCACUGUUGUUAAGCUAACAAGAGCACAAAACCAUUCUGGAAGGCAUCCAUAUACUUGAUUAUGCCCAAUUCCCAGAAAUUAGAGAGAUGAAGAUAGAUUAGCUUUCGAAUUUGGCAAAACCCCCUUUAGCCUAUUGACACACAAAUCCAAAGUUCUCAGAUAGCUACAACUGAGCAAAGAAGUAAUAAAAUUCAAAAAUUAUCACCUUCUUUGGUCCCAAGAUUAUUUUCUUCCAAGCUCAGAAAAGAAAGUUUGUUUAGGCUUCGAAAGUUGAUAUGUGAAACUAUUACGUGCUAAAUCGAUGUGCUCAAUUCUCGUAGCAUUUGAUAACGAAACAGGAAUCCAACCGCUAAAAUUGUUUCCCCAUAUUCGUAUACGCUGAAGUUUAGGAAGGAGAAUACCAAUAUUCGAUGGAAUAGUUUAAAUAUAUUAAUAAAAUAUUAUUUUUUAAAUUAAAAUUUUAAACUGUUUGCUAGGUCUGAUUAUGUAAAUUUUAUUUGAAAAUUUACUUUUUUAAAAAUAUUUGUCACGAUCUGUUUUCAGAGGCCAGACCGGCAUUAGGGCCUAGGUAAGUUUAAGGCUGCCGAAGCCUAGAGUAAGCAUAAAUCACAAAAAUUUAACUAUCUCAUAAAUAUAUUAUUCUUAGGCCGAAAUUUAACACAUUUAAAUAUUUCAUAGACCGGGCCCAAUUUGUAAUACAUUACGUUUAUAAAGUGGGUCCAUAAAAUUAUUACAUCUAUAAUAACACACCNNNNNNNNNNNNNNNNNNNNNNNNNNNNNNNNNNNNNNNNNNNNNNNNNNNNNNNNNNNNNNNNNNNNNNNNNNNNNNNNNNNNNNNNNNNNNNNNNNNNNNNNNNNNNNNNNNNNNNNNNNNNNNNNNNNNNNNNNNNNNNNNNNNNNNNNNNNNNNNNNNNNNNNNNNNNNNNNNNNNNNNNNNNNNNNNNNNNNNNNNNNNNNNNNNNNNNNNNNNNNNNNNNNNNNNNNNNNNNNNNNNNNNNNNNNNNNNNNNNNNNNNNNNNNNNNNNNNNNNNNNNNNNNNNNNNNNNNNNNNNNNNNNNNNNNNNNNNNNNNNNNNNNNNNNNNNNNNNNNNNNNNNNNNNNNNNNNNNNNNNNNNNNNNNNNNNNNNNNNNNNNNNNNNNNNNNNNNNNNNNNNNNNNNNNNNNNNNNNNNNNNNNNNNNNNNNNNNNNNNNNNNNNNNNNNNNNNNNNNNNNNNNNNNNNNNNNNNNNNNNNNNNNNNNNNNNNNNNNNNNNNNNNAGUCACCGGACCAACUCCCACGGCCGAGCUGUGUUAUGGGCAUUAACGUAGUCUUUAGGUGAGUCUUGGGCAUGCAAGGGAAUAGUUAAGGUACAUAAGUUCUACAACGAUGGAGUUCACUAACAGAUAAAUAAAAAUAAAUUUUUGUACAUUUAUCUAUUUUAUGAAUUAAUACUAAAAUUAGAGAAUUCUUUUCUUGCUCUGUCGUGAUAGAAGCAAAGCUUUUCGGAUAAAAAAAAAACCUGAGUCUUGCAAGUAAUUGCCAGGAGGGUCAUAGUUGCAAGUAAUGAAAGUUCCUCCAUUGUUGCACUUCGCCUUAGCACAUCCUAUGCGAACAGAGGGACACCAAACCACCACACACCUUUCUGGCAACACAACUACUAGAGUUAUAGUCGUAAAACGCCUUUUCAUCAACCCACAGUUUCACAGCAUCGAUUCCUGAUAGGUCACCACUGCUCCACGCUAGGUUCUCGCCAUAAGGUCCGGCUGAAUGUACAAGUCUACAGUCGCCAAUGUGUUGAUUCGCAUAAUUUCGUGCAUAGGCUUCCACCGUGUUAUCCCAAGUCACCAGACCAACUCCCACGGCCGCUCGAGCUGUGUUAUGGGCAUUAACGUAGUCUUGAGGUGAGUCUAGGGCACGCAACGGAAUAGUUAAGGUACAUAAGUUCUACAACAGCGGAGUUCACUAACUAACAGAUAAAUACAAAUAAAUUUUUGUACAUUUAUCUAUUUUAUGAAUUAAUACUAAAAUUAGAGAAUUCUUUUCUUGCUCUGUCGUGAUAGAAGCAAAGCUUUUCGGGUAAAAAAAAAAACCUGAGUCUUGCAAGUAAUUGCCAGGAGGCUCAUAGUUGCAAGUAAUGAAAGUUCCUCCAUUGUUGCACUUCACCUUAGCAAUUCCUAUGCGAACUGAGUUACGCCAAACCACCUGAGUGUAAUGCCCACACACCUUUCCGGCAGCACCACUACUAGAGAUAUUGUCAUAAAACACCUUUUCAUCAACCCACAGUUUCACAGCCGCGGUUCCUGAAAGGUUACCGCUGCUUCCCGCUAGGUUCCCGCCAUAAGGUCCGGCUGAAUGUACAAGUCUACAGUCGCCAAUGUGUUGAUUCGCAUAAUUUCGUGCAUAGACCGCCACCGUGUUAUCCCAAGUCACUGGACCAAUUCCCACGGCCGCUCGAGCUGUGUUAUGGGAAUUAACGUAGUCUUGAGGUGAGUCUUGGGCAUGUAAGGGAAUAAUUAAGGUUACACUCGUUAGACAAAUGAGGGGUAAUAAAAUUUUGGACAACAUCGUUUUUGGUUUGUGAUGGAAAAUAAGAGUUUAGGCAAUUGAUGAAAAUUGCUAACAUGUUAGAUUGGAAUUUAUAGGCACAUGGUAUUGGAAAAUUAGAUAUGGAUGAUGACUUCAAAUUGGUAAAAACUUGUAACGGGUAGAGGAAUUAAUUGAGAAAAGUCAGUUCUUACGGUGUCACUUUACAUAGCAUGGAGACGGAACUAAAAUUAGUAGCAUAAGCAAAAAGAAAUUGUAUCUAACCAAUGAAGGGUUGAAGGGUAAGAGGGUGAUUUUCUUGUAAUUUAAACUAGAUGUUUGAUUAUUUAUUUAUUUACUGGAAGGCCAAAAGAACCAAAAUAACAUUGCGUCUAUACAAUAGAAGUAGCCCUUCUAUUGACUAAUCAAAUUUAGUAAAAACUCGCGGUGGAGAAUAUUCAAACUCAAAACAUCCACUCCUCAUAUAAUCAAGAAGACUAACAAAACCAUACCGGAUUGACAACUAUCUAUUUAAUUUUUAUUUUUUAUUUUAUGAAAAAUCAUGUAUAUUUUCUGAAAAUUCAUAACGAGAAAUAACCCAUAUGAGGUUUGACUUCAAAAUUAGAUCCAAAUUUAAUACAUCAAAUUUAUUAAUUACAAUGAGAUGUUUGAUUUUCUUUUAAAGAAAAAUCAUCUAUAUUUUCUGAAAAUUCAUAAAUAAAAAUAACUCACUUAGGUUUGACAUGAAAAUUAAAUCAAAAUUUAAAAAUUAAUUAACAAAGUUGUGUUAGUGAUGUGGCUAACAUUACUUGUUCUUAAUGGUAAAGCAAUUAAAAUUAAUUAUGGUUCAAAUUAUAUUUUAUAAAUGGAUGAUAUCACAUAAUCUGGAAUGUGAAAUUGUAAAAUAUAGAAACUUGCAAAAAGAAAGAAAUGCAACGUCAAACAGAGGAGUAAAGAUAUUUCCAAUUCACCAAUGAUCGACAAGUAGUGCAAUUGUUGUGCAUUGCAUUAUUAUAUAUAUUCCAUUUUGCUUUCAAUUAAUUAAAAAAGAAAAAUACUUAUCUAGAUUCCAUCUAUGGGCCUACAUAGACCAGAUGAAUAAAUGUCAUUAAUUAUUUUUUUAAUUCCAAAAAAUAAGAAAAAUUAAUAAUGCAAAAAAUAUCUUAUAUCUUCCUCCUCUAACCUCAGCUCUGCAUGGUGAUUUUGUUUCGAGUGAUUUAUUUUAAAAUCACAUCUUGGUAAAUCUGAAAUUGUCUAUUCUCUUUUUUUUUUUUUCGUGUUGUUUCAGUUUAGUUUCUUCAGACUCUCUUCAUUUUGCGUCUGGGUAUUUGCCAAAUCUGCAAAAAAGACUCAUUUUUUAAAUAUUCUUAUCGAGGAUUCAAAAGUUUUAUUUUGAGAAAUUAAAAAUUUUUUACAGGCCGUAAUCGAACAUGGUUUGCCAGUUUUGUUGCAUUAUCUUUGUUUUUCUUUAUUGCUUUCAUUAUUGUUCCACUAUAAUUUAUUAACCUUACUAUAAAUCAUCACACACCAACGUAGAUAAGAGCGGAUGGAAAAGGAGAUGUUUGUCUUUUUGAAAUAAAAAAUUUAAAUAAUAAUAUCAUUUUUUUUAUUGGUUUGGUCUAUUUUUAAAACAUAGAUUGAGUCUCGAAUUUUCCUCUCGAGUAAUUAAAAAGAUAAAAGAAAUUACCAACAGGGAUUAGUCUGAGUGGAAAUGACUAAAAUGAUUAAACUGGUCUAAUCGGUAAGAGUCAGUUGAUUAAUUCACUAGUUGUAUAUAAUUUUUAAAGGUUAGAUCUAUUGAUAAAUGGAUUUGAUUUUAAUCUAAUCGAUUAAAAUUCAAUUAUGGCUUCUAGAUAACAAAUGAAAAUUUUUUAUCGUUUGUGUUUCUUUAGUCCAAGUAUAAAGUUGCCUACUGCUCUCUAUCUACAAUCACCAGUCACGGCAAGCUAUCCAUCACAAACUAGAUAUUUCUUCACGGAGUGUUUACGACUAAUAGUGAAGAGUGAGAGAUUUUGAGUUUGAGUUCUCUUGAUUACAAUUAUUUUCACCAAUUUGGUGAGUCAAACAUCUUAUGUUGUGUAGCAUGCAGUGUUAUUUUAGCUUAUAAAAAGCCUCUAAUGAAUUUUUUUUUUUAAAAAAAGCAGGAUAAAGAUAGUUUGAUAAUUUUUGAAAAUAUCUAUUUUAUUUAAAUAAUUAUUAUUUUUAUAAAUAUAUUAUAUUUUCUACUCACAUAAUUGAUUUAAUUAUAUUCUUACAACAUUAUUUAUGAGUUAAAUUUUAAUAUCUUCUCUCUCUCUUUUUUUAUAUAAACACUUCCAUCCUAUUGAGUGAGAUUAAUUAAAUCUAGACAUCUAAGGGUGCUUUAAGAAUUUACCACUAAUGUUUCCUUCAUAUAUGUGUACUUUGGUUCUAAUAUCAUUGACAAAAAGUUAACCACACUGAAUACUUAUAGUAUAUAUAGCAAAAGUGAAUUAAUUAAUGCAAUUUGAUGUGAAUAUUAACAACCUUUUUGUCACAAGAUUAGAAACUGGUCUACUAUGUGGGUAGCAAGUAACCCUAUUGGUCUUUAAAUAGACUAAUUAAGCUUUGUGUUACGCCCCGCACAAACAAUCAGGUAGAAUUGCAAAGGCAGCCUCCACAAUUUAUAAGCAAGGCUUAGAAGGGUGCAAAUUGGGCUGCCACAAUAUGCCAAGGCUUGAGAAGCCUCUAGCCCAAAGUUGGAGGUCCAAGCUUGUAUUCUAGAAAACUCCACAUUACUCCACCCAAAAGAUAUUUUGUGUAAUGUCUAAAUAAUUCUAGAAUUCUCCUUCUAAUCUAGACCGUCCAUUUUUGUAAGCAAAUUUUAGCCGUACAUUGAGGAGGUGGAAAUGGCUAUAAAUGCGACCCCUCACCUCACUUGUAAAUCAUCCAAGCAAAUACAAAACAUUUGAGUAAUAAUAGUUCUACAACAAAGCUCUUCUAAAGCUCUCUUGUGCUCUCUUCUUAUUUGGCUUCUAUCUUCGCUCCAUCGUUCUUCUAGGCUUACUUAGCUCGUCCUAACACCCAAAAGGUGACUGAGUGCCGCAUGGAUAGGCAAGCUAAAACCUAUCUCCGUGACAGGUGGGUUCAGAGCAACGGUUCCAUCCUAGGUACCAAGCCUUUCGUCUUGAUCAAAGGCGAACGAGGAAGCUAAUGUGGUUGUUGCUGAGGGAUAACAACUCGAGCAUGCUGAGUCUGUCCGAGGCCGUGAGCCAUCACGUACUCAGCCUAAGAGGGGGAGGUUGGUGAGUCUGAGUAAAGAGUUAGAGCUCUUGAGCAAGCCCUGUCCACUCAAGAAGCUCUUGUGGGCGAACUCUUUGAGCAACUUGAUAAUGUUUGCUCAGGAGAACGAAGAGAUCACCAGGGCUGCCAAGGACAUGAUCGUUGAGCUUGGCAGAGCCAUUCGAAAAGAACUUCGAGCCCUUGCGAAUGAGAUGACUGAGGUACAAGAAAUUGCCAAUUCUGAAGUUAAUGCUCUCCGAAGGGAAGUAGAUGCUGUCUGUUCUGAAUGCCGGAUGCACCAACGAAUGAGUUGUCUCGCCUCAACUAGUGCCACCACUGGUCCUGUGGUAUAUGGUCUGAAGUUGCCUAAGCCUGCGAUGUACAACGGUUCACGUAGUGCUUCGAUGGUGGAGAACUUUCUCUUUGGUCUUGAUCAAUACUUCGAGGCCAUGGGGGUAUUAGAUGAUGCUACCAAGAUUGGCAAUGCCCCCACGUUCCUCCGGGAUGCUGCUCAACUAUGGUGGCGAAGGAAACACGCAGAACGUGAGAAAGGCACAUGCACUAUCCAUACGUGGGAGCAAUUCAAGUUGAAUUAUGGAAGAACUUCGUGCCUUAUAAUGUCGAUACCGAAGCAAGGGGUAAAUUACAUCGUCUACGACAGAGUGGUAGCAUCCAUGAUUACAUCAAGGAGUUCACUACCCUUAUGUUGGAAAUCGACGACCUGUCUGACAAAGAUGCUCUCUAUUACUUCAAAGAUGGGCUAAAAGACUGGGCAAAGGUGGAGCUAGAGCGUCGUGGCAUGCAAGCUUUUGACGAUGCCAUUGUUGUUGUUGAGUCCCUAACUGACUACUCCACCCAAGCCAAGAAUAAGAAGCCCGUCCUUAGCAAGAGUGGGGGAGAGAGACAAAGUCAGAGGAAGGACCAUCAUCGUAGGGAGGAAGGUCCAUCUAAAUCAUUCGGUGGAAAGCACGAUAAGCAGUUUAGGAAGAAUGAUUCCAAACCUCCUAAACCUUGCUUCAUCUGUGAAGGGCCACAUUGGGUGCGAGACUGCCCAGUAGGAAGGCAAUGAAUGCCAUGGUCGCUGAGUUCAAUAAAGAGAAACAGGCGACAAAAGAAACCUAUGCCAACUUGGGAUUCUUACAAUACUUGAGUUUUAUAGCAAGAACUCUUCCUCCUAGCAUCCCCAAGAUGAAGGGAUUACUGUUUGCGGAUGUAGCCGUUAAUCAAGAAUCAGCUAGCGUCAUGCUAGACACAGGGGCGACUCACAAUUUUAUGGAUAUUAAGGAGGCCAAGCAACUAGGCUUGGACAUUGAUGAAGGCAGUGGCACCAUCAAAACUAUAAAUUCCAAAGUAAAGCCAAUUGCCGGAUUUGCAAAGGCUGUACUAGUCAAAAUUGGCUCAUGGUGCGGAAAGCUAGACUUCACUAUCGUGCCCAUGGACGAUUUUGAUAUUGUAUUGGGAUUAGCAUUCUUCCGAAAGGUAUGCACACUCCUUUUCCCUUACGGAAGUUCCCUAAUCAUACUUGAAGGAGAGAAGCCAUGCAUUAUCCCAUUGAAGAGCAUAGAGAAGUCAGCACCAAUGGUCUCUACUAUGCAAUUCAAGAGGGGCUUUAAAUCAGCUGAAAACUACAUGGCAACAAUCAGGGAACUUAAUAAGGGAGAGGAAGUGGCAAAUCUUGAACAGCCUUUGCCAGAAUCUGUCCAAGCCAUGUUGAAUGAAUAUCAAGAUGUAAUGCCUCCAUAGUUGCCUAAACAACUCCCUCCUAAAAGGGAAGUCGAUCAUCAGAUCGAGUUGGAGCCUAAUCCUAAGCCGCCAACCAUGGCUCCUUAUCGAAUGUCUCCCCCAGAGUUGGAAGAACCGAGGACGCAACUCCAGGACCUCCUUGACUCAAAAUACAUUCAACCUUCCAAGGCUCCUUAUGGCGCGCCAGUCCUCUUCCAGAAGAAGGAUGACUCUCUACGGAUGUGUAUAGACUAUCGGGCGUUAAACAAGAUCACUAUAAAAAACAAAUACCCAAUGCCUUUGAUAGCUGAUCUCUUUGAUCAAUUGGGGAACGCAAGAUGGUUCUCGAAGCUGGACUUACGGUCAGGUUACUAUCAAGUGUGUAUUGCAGCAAGAGAUGAGCCCAAGACGACUUGUGUAACUCGGUAUGGCGCAUUUGAAUUUGUAGUAAUGCCUUUCGGCUUGACUAAUGCCCUAGCCACAUUCUGUACUCUUACGAACAAACUGUUCCACCCUUUCCUCGACAAAUUUGUGGUGGUCUACUUGGACGACAUUGUAGUGUAUAGCACUUCUCUCGAAGAGCAUGUGCAACACCUCAAGUAAGUCUUCCAAGUUCUCCGAGAGAACCAACUCUAAGUAAAGGUGGAAAAAUGCUAUUUUGCUCAACAGGAAGUGGAGUUCCUUGGGCAUAAAAUCAAAGAAGGCAUGUUAAUGAUGGAUCCAUUUAAAGUGAAAGCCAUUCAAGAAUGGAAACCUCCAUCAAACGUCCCCGAGCUAAGAUCCUUCCUAGGCCUGGUAAACUACUACCGCCGCUUUAUAAAGGGAUACUCAGCCAUAGCGGCACCCUUGACAAAUCUGCUCAAGAAGAAUUGCACAUGGCAUUGGACAUCACAAUGCCAAGAUGCCUUCGAAGAAUUGAAGCAGAUGGUGUCAGAAGAGCCUAUCAUGGUGUUGCCUGACUAUACAAAGCCUUUUGAGGUACACACUGAUGCCUCGAUUUACGUUAUCGGUGGGGUACUAAUGCAAGAAGGCCAUCCCAUUGCUUAUGAAAACUGAAAACUGAUUGAUACCGAACGUCGGUAUACAGUCCAAGAGAAGGAGAUGAUAGCCAUCAUUCACUGCCUAAGAACAUGGCUACACUACUUGCUUGGCAGUAAGUUUGUGGUCAAGACGAAAAAUGUAGCUACCAGCUACUUUCAGACUCAAAAGAAGUUGAGUCCCAAGCAAGCUCGAUGGCAAGAUUUCUUGCCGGAGUUUGGUUAUCAGCUCGAGUACAAGCCAGGGAAGGCCAAUGUUGUUGCUGAUGCACUGAGUCGCAAGGCAGAACUAGCCAACAUCAGUGCUAGAACCCCACAGAGCAACCUACUGGAUCACAUCCAAGAAGGGAUGCAAUACGAUGCUUUUACCAAAAACUCGCUUAAACUCGCAAAAGAGGGCAAGACACGAAGAUUUUGGGAGCAAGAUGGAGUACUAUAUACUCAUGGCAACCGAGUCUUCGUGCCGAAAUGGGGAAAUCUUCACAAAGAAAUCCUCAAGGAGUCCCACGACUCAAAAUGGGCUGGACAUCCUGAUGAGACGCGUACUAUGGCCUUAGUAAGAGCUCACUACUACUGGCCAAGGAUGCAGGAUGACGUAGAGACGUAUGUCAAGACUUGUCUUGUCUGCCAACAAGACAAGGUCGAACAAUAACCUCUCGCCGGCCUACUUGAACCUCUUCCUGUUGUAGAGCAUCCUUGGUAGAGUGUCUCGAUAGAUUUCAUCGUUGCACUACCUAAGUCUGAAGGAUAUGGUAGCAUAAUGGUCGUUGUUGACAGAUUUAGCAAGUAUGCUACCUUUAUCCCAGUCUCUACUGACUGUAAGGUCGAUGAAGCAGCCCGCCUAUUCUUCAAGAAUGUGGUGAAGUUAUGGGGCUUUCACAAAGUAUUGUGAGCGAUUGAGACCCUUGCUUUACUGGCAAGUUCUGGCGAGACUUGUUCAAGCUGAUGGGGACAGACUUGAACUUCUCGACUAGCUUUCAUCCCUAGAGUGAUGGGCAAAUGGAGCAUAUCAAUGCAUUGCUCGAGCUGUACCUCCGACACUAUAACAGUGCUCAUCAGCGAGAUUGGGCCAAGUUACUCGACAUUACCCUAUUCUCAUAUAACCUCCAAAAGAGUGAGUCUACAGGCAAAAGUCCCUUCGAGAUCAUCAUGGGACAAUAACCAAUCACUCCCAAUGCCAUUGCAGCUUCAUAUGCUGGGGUGAACCUUGCAGCCCACAAGUUCGCAAGGGAAUGGCAUGAAGAGGCUGACGAGACUCGUGCUUGUCUCAAUAAAGCUGUUCGGCGAAUGAAGAAAUGGGCUGACACCAUGAGGCAUCCAAAGGAGUACGCUGAAGGGGACAAGGUACCCGUCAAACUCCUCCCUAACCAAUUCAAGUCCCUAAGAAAGGUGCAUAAAGGGUUGGUGAGGAAAUAUGAAGGACCAUUUCCCAUAAUCAAACGAGUGGGAAAAGUUGCCUAUCAAGUCGAACUGCCUCCGAAGCUUAAGAUUCAAAAUGUCUUCCAGUUAGCAUGUUGAAACCUUACCAUACUGAUGAAGAGGACCCAAGCAAGAGUGCAUCCACACGAGCCCCAACAGCUGUUGUCACCGAAUUCGAUAGAGAGGUUGACAACAUACUUGACUCACAAGUAGUACAGAGACGAGGAGUUCCAAACUACCGCGAGUACUUGAUCAAGCGGAAAAACCUGCCAGAGUCUGAAGCUAGCUGGGAGCGUGAAGACGCUCCUUGGUAGUUCGAGGAUAAAAUAAAAGAAUAUGAAAAUCAAGGCGCGACGAGAGCGUCGCGAGUUUGAGUGGGGGAGGGUGUUACGCCCCGCACAAACAAGCAGGCAGAAUUGCAAAGGCAGCCUCCACAAUUUAUAAGUAAGGCUUAGAAGGGUGCAAAUUGGGCUGCCACAAUGUGCCAAAGCUUGAGAAGCCUCUAGCCCAAAGUUGGAGGUCCAAGCCCGCAUUCUAGAAACCUCCCCAUUACUCCCCCCAAAAGAUAUUUUGUGUAAUGUCUACAUAAUUCUAGAAUUCUCCUUCUAAUCUAGACCGUCCAUUUUUGUAGGCAAAUCUUAGCCGUACAUUGAGGAGGUGGAAAUGGCUAUAAAUACCACCCCUCACCUCACUUGUAAAUCAUCCAAGCAAAUACAAAGCAUUUGAGUAAUAAGAGUUCUACAACAAAGCUCUUCUAAAGCUCUCUCGUGCUCUCUUCUUAUUUAGCUUUUAUCUUCGCUCCAUCGUUCUUCUAGGCUUACUUAGCUCGUCCUAACACCCAAAAGGUGACUAAGUGCCGCACGGAUAGGCAAGCUAAAACCUAUCUCCGUGACAUUUGACAAUGCAAGCCACUAACCAAACCAUUAAAACAAGUUUUUGGGUUAAGCCAUUAAUACAAUACUUUGACUAUUGAGAAGUAAACCUAAAAAUUCUUCAUUAGAAGAUUUGCUAUAGCCAAUUAGCCAUUAAUCUUCAAUUGAUAAUCUCAAUUAAGUUACCAAAAAGAUGUCUAUUAGGAUAUCAAAUCAAAGGCCAAGCCUGUAAUUUCACCCCGAACUUUCGAGUAGUUGAAAUUUCACUAUAAAUUGACAUUUAUACUCUGGACACUUUGAACUUAUCAACUAGUUACAAUUACACCAUAAUUUAAAUUAAUAUUCAACUCAUUAUUUUUGCAUCUUAAAAUUGGUCAAUUUUAAAAUUAAAUAUUUAACCUUGAUUUUAUUUAUUUAUCAAAUGCAUACUCGAGUUUGAUUUUAUUAUUUAUGGUUUAAAUACUUGGUUGUGGAGUUUUUUUUUUUUACAUUACUUUAAUCAAAAUUUCAAUCUUAAUUUACUUUUAGGGUGCACUUGCAACAAAUUGACAAGUUCACGGUGUUGUGAUUCAUUUUUAGAGUGCAAUAGCAGAUUCGGUGUAAUUGCAAGUAGGAUGAUAAGUUCAGAGUGCCAGGUACAAAGGUCGAUUUAGAGUAAAAUUGCAACUAUUUGAAAAGUUUAGGGUAAAAUUGAAGGUGGCCACCAGAUUCGAACUCGAGCUCUUUACUCCCACAUAUAGUUUCUUUAAUUAUUAAGACAUACAUGUGAACUAAAAUAUUAUUCCAUCGUCAAAAUUACUGCAUACAACAAAACAAACUUAGUAUAAUAACCAUUAAUAGAAUUUAAUUUAAUAAGGUCGCUCCCCGAAGAACAUAACUGGCCGGAUUAUACAUGGAAGUAACCAAAGUUCCUCUGAAGGGAUGCUUUAGCUAUUAGAAGUGUUGUGAUCAUAUUAGUAGUCCAUACAUAAAAACCCAAUUUUUUAAACCCGACCUGUUUUACCAGAAUUCAUUUUUAAUAAUAUUACUUUUGAUGACGUGCAUUUCAUGUUGACUAUGCUGAUAGUAUACUCAUUCUUUAUCUAUCUAAUAUUAAAUCAUAAAUUUUAUUUAGAUUAAAAUAAAUACAAGCAAUUAAUUUGUAUUAUACUUUACCGUACAAACUAUUUGCAAUGCUACCUAUAAUGUACUUAAUUCUAUUUUUAUAUAAUGAAGUUAUCUUAAAAUAAAGUACAACUGAAUCCUUAGACCUAAUUCUUUAGGCCAUAAUUUAUAAAAUGUAGAUUUUUAAAACCCUAAUAGGUGCUCAAAAAGAAAAUCAAGUCAUUAUUCAAUCUCUAACCCCCUACCCUCAACCUCAAAUCUAUAUUUAUAUACAACUAUAAUGAAGAAUAAUAAUAAAUUAUUUUUACUGCUAAGUAAAAGAAAAUAAAUGAGAAAAUAAUCUGAAUUGAUUAUGGAAAUCACUUUUACUAUAGUGGCUGUAUUACUUACUCAGUGUAUUAGAGAAAGGAAUGUAUGCACAACAUACAAAUUCUUGAAACCCCAAAAAGUGACCCAAACAGAAAUAUAUAGUUAUAGUUUUUUUUUCCAGUUUCCUAAACACUAUUUUUUUUUAAAUCAAACAAAUUUAGGAUAUAAGAGAAAAAAUAUUAAAAAAUUAAAAAUACUUAACCAAUAGGCCAUCUAUUUAUUAUAAAGGAGAUAUAAAUCUCUUACUAAAUUAAAAUGAUAAUGGUUACAAAUUAUUCAGUAACAAAAAAUAAAAUAAAAAAUUAUUAUUAAGAAUAAAACUCUUUCAAAAUUCACCUAACAAAAAAAAGUUUCAAUAUAUAUAAAUAUAUAAAUAUAUCAAUAAAAUAUUAUAUUUUUUUUAAAAUUAAAAUUUCAAUUGUUUACUAUCCCAUGUUUAAUUAUGUAAAUUCUAUUUGAAAAUUUAUUUGUUUCAAAAUAUAUACAAUCAAAUAUGACAAACUAUAAAGAAAAAAAUAUUAAUAUACUUUUUUCUUCUCUUUUUAUCUCUCUCCUAAAUAAAAUAUUAUAUAUAUUCUAUUUGAAAUUUUAUUUUUUAAAAAAUAUAUCCAAUCAUAUCAUACAAACAUAAAGAAAAAGAAUAUUAAUAAAAAAUAUAUAUUUUCUUUCUUUUUUUUAUCUAUAUCCUAAAAGAAUUAAAUAUUUAGUAAAUAAAAUAUAAAAAAUUUUCAAAUGUCUCAUUAUCAUAUAUAUUCAUUAAAAAUAUAUUUAGUAAAUAUAAAAUUUAAAAUUUUGAAAUGCUUAAUUAUAUAUAUGUAUUUAUUUAAAAAAUUAUUUUUUGAUUCAUUAGAACGCAUGAUGGGCCAAAAUACUAUUGCGGGCUAUACAACAAUCAAAUUGAUAACUCACCUAACAAAAAAAAUGCUUUAAUGCAUAUAGAUAUGUAAAUAUAUCAAUAAAAUAUUAUUUUUUUACAUUAAAAUUUUCAACUGUUUAUCAUCACAGGUUUAAUUAUUUAAAUUCUAUUUGAAAAUUUACUUUUUAAAAAAUACAUCCAGUCAAAUCUUACAAAUAUAAAUAACAAAAACACUAAUAAAAAUAAUAUAUUGUUUUCUUCUUUUUUUAUCUCUCUCCUAAAUAAAAUAUUAUAUAUAUUAUAUUUGAAAAUUUAUUUAUUUUUUAAAAAAUAUCCAAUUUAUUAAGUAUUAAGCAUUUAAUAAAUAAUUAAGUAUUUAAUAAAUAAAAUAUAAAAAUUUUCAAAUAUCUCAUUAUCAUAUAUAUUCAUUAAAAAAUUAAGUAUUUAGUAAAGAUAAAACUUUAAAUUUUAAAAUGUUUAAUUAUUUAUAUGCAUUUAUUUAAAUUUUUUUUUGAUUCAUUAGGAAGCUUAAUGAGCUAAAAUAAUACUGCGGGCUACACAAUAAUUAAAUUGGUGAAAACACUUAUAAUCGAGAGGACAAUGAAACCGCACAUGAUUGGCUUAAGUACUUUUUUUGCAAAAAAAACAAAAAAAAAAAAAAAAAAACUGUUUUUCGAAUUCAAUAGACAAAAGAAUUCUUUAUUCUACAUAUGAUAAAAAGUAAAAGUAGUUCAAUUUAAUAUUGAUUACAUUGAAAAAGAAUGAAAAUCUUUAUAUUUAUAUAUAUAUAUUUAUAUAUUUAUAUUUAUAUAAAUAUAUAUUUUCUAUUUUAUAUAUUUCAUUUUUUAAUUUUCUAAUACAAAUUAGAAAAUAUUAAUUUUUAUAAAUUAUAUCCAAUCAACUUAUAAAACUGUAAUAUUUUAAUUGGCCAUCAUUAAGGAUAUUUUAGAACAUUUUAAAUUUCAUUAAGGGUAAUAUAGGAAAUCUCAUUAUUCUUCCUCGUUCCCACUUUUAUAUAUAGUAUAGAUGUAUUACUUCUGUUAAAUUAUUAUUCCAAUUCAUGGUGCUAACAUAGUAUAGUAUGAUCGUUACAUUAUAUAAUUAUGUAUCUAAUAUAUAAAUAAAAUAAAACAUAUAAAUAUAGAUAUAUAUUAUGAUACAUGGUAGAUAUGGAUACAAAUAUAGAUGAUUAAAAUUUUUAAGUCAUUACUAUUGCUAGAAAUAAAUAUUAAUUUUUACAUUUUAAAAAUAGCUUAAGUUAAUCGUCAAAUCAAAACAUAAAAUAAUAAAAAAAUUCAAAAAUUUUAAAAAAGAAAAAGUAGAAUAUAUAUAAUGAAUAAAGAGAGAGUUGAAUAUUUCUUUUUACUGAUAGGUAGUUAGACAAGAUGGAAUGUAUUGCAUUCUUAGAUGAACUUUAAUGGAGACAUAUAUUUUUCUAUAAAAAAAAAUUUUUGAAGUCCUUUUUUCAAUUUUAAAUUAGUUAAAUUAGUUUCUCACCUAGCAUCAAUAAAUUAAAAUAAUUCUUUUCUAUCCAUUUGUUUGUUUUUUUUUUUGGUACAAAUUUUCCAUUUGUUUUUUUCAUUAAGAAAAACAAAACAGGACAAAACGGUUAUCAAUAACUGUUCCAUGAUAAUUUCCGAACUUCUUGAUUUUUCUAACUGACUAUUUGUUUUCCAUUUAGAAAUUUAUUUCCAAUAAUUAUUAACCAAUCCACAAAAAUAGUUCCAUUUUGAGUAAAGCCAACUAAUUCAAAGAACACAUUUUCCUACAUUUCUUCCGUAUAAAUCCUCAAAACCUACUCAUCCAAUUUGUGCUUAUUGUAGCCUCAUUUACUGCCUCUACAUAGCUUAAUAUAGACAACUAGAAAAUGGGGUUCAACAAGUUGGUAGUAAUAGCCCUAAUUUUCAUGGCAUUAACCAUGGUUCCCCUCUCUCUAGCCCACGACUCUGCAGCCCACGACUCUCCAGAAGACUACCUGGCUGCACAUAAUUGCGCCCGGGCAGAGCUAGGGAUCGCACCGCUUUGUUGGAACACAACAUUGGUAAAAUAUGCNNNNNNNNNNNNNNNNNNNNNNNNNNNNNNNNNNNNNNNNNNNNNNNNNNNNNNNNNNNNNNNNNNNNNNNNNNNNNNNNNNNNNNNNNNNNUGAAUUUAGCGGUGUGGAUGGUGUGAAAUUAUGGGUAGAUGAGAAGGCUCAUUUUGAUUAUCACAGCAAUACUUGUGUUGGCGGUGGAUGCCGGCAUAACACUCAAGUUAUUUGGAAAAACACCAAGGAAGUAGGUUGGGCUAGUGUUAGAUGUGGUGAAGGAUGGAACAUUAUUAGUUGCAACUAUUGUCCUCCGGGGAACUAUGUCGGUGAGAAGCCUUAUUGAAUUUCUAUUGGUUAGAGAGGGAUUAAUGAAAUACGGCUAAUUAAUUAGCCUCGAUUAAUUAAUGUUUAAUAAUUACAAAACGAAUUAAUCAAACUGCUAUAUAUCAUAUUAAUGCAACCAAUAUAUAUUUGUAAUAUGUAUCAGAGAAAUAUUUUUCCUGCUAUAUAUCAACGAAACUGCGAACUUGCUUUAAUUAUUAUAGUUUUUUUUUAAAAAAAUUUUAACUUUAAUUGAAUUUUUUAUUUCAAAUCAUAUACGUUAACUUAUAUGCUUUUGGUUAACUUUUUUUUUUUCCACAAAUUUUCAAUUCAUUGAAAGGUCUAAUGAGUCAAAGUAAUACUGCGAGCUACACAAUAAAUUAGUGAAAAAAUCUUGUGUUUGACACGACUCAACUUGAGAUUUUUCAUUCCAGACAUAAGUGACAAAACUAAUGAAUUAAAAUAUAUUACCAUUAAAAGCAACUUUUAAAAUUUGCAAUCCUCACUGUGAAUAGCAACUUAUAAAAUUUUUUUUAACUUUAGCUUUAGCUAAACGAGAUCACAGCUGUGAAACUGGUAAUUUUGAUUGUAAAGAAGGAUGAGACCAAAAUAGAAUUGUUUAUGUAUGAUCCCAAACUAUCUACUUUGGUUUUGGUUAAGAUCCCAUAUUUUUUUCUUAAAAAUUUUUUAGUUUUAUAGCAUGGAUUAAAAAACAUAGUCAUUUAAAUAUUAAACCAAAUUAACUUGUCCUGACUUCAAAAGGGACAAUAAUACAAGAUAGUGUCCUUACGCACAAUAUAUUUAUAGAAUGCAUGUAAGUUAAUAUUUAUACAAAAUACCUAAUUAAAUUAAAUAAAUAAAAUGAGAUUAUAUCAAUCGGGUGGUGGUUUGGUUAUAUGAUAUAUAAUUUAGUCAUAAAAAGUUAAAAUUUUAAGGUAAUACUUCAAUCUAAUAAGGACGCCGUCCAACGUAGUUGCUAGGAGGGUCAUAGUUGCAAGUAAUGAAAGUUCCUCCAUUGUGGCCCUUCCCCUUAGCACAUCCUAUGCGAACUGAGUUACGCCAAACCGCCUGAGUGUAAUGCCCACACACCUGUCCGGCAGCACAAGUAUUAGAGUUAUAGUCGUAAAACACCUUUUCAUCAACCCACAGUUGCACAGCCGCGGUUCCUGAAAGGUCACCGCUGCUCCCCGCUAGGUUCUCGCCAUAACGUCCGCCUGAAUGUACAAGUCUACAGUUGCCAAUGUGUUGACUAGCGUAAUUUCGUGCAUAGGCCGCCACGGUGUUAUCCCAAGUCACCGGACCACCUCCCACGGCCGCUCGAGCUGUGUUAUGGGCAUUAACGUAGUCUUGAUGUGAGUCUUGGGCAUUUAAGUGAAUAAUUAAGGCUACACUCAUUAGACAAAUGAGGGGUAAUAAAAUUUUGGACAACAUCGUUUUUGGUUUGUGAAGGAAAAUAAGAGGUUAGGCAAUUGAUGAAAAUUGUUAACAUGUUAGAUUGGAAUUUAUAGGCAUAUGGUUUUGGAAAAUUAGAUAUCGAUGAUGACUUGAAAUUGGAAAAAACUUGUAAUGGGUAGAGGAAUUAAUUGAGAAAAGUCAGUGCUUAUGGUGCCACUUUACUUAGCAUGGACACGGAACUAAAAUUAGUAGCAUAAGCAAAAAGAAAUUGUAUCUAACCAAUGAAGGGUUGAAAGGUAAGCAAGAAGAACUAAAAUUAGUGCUUAUGGUGAUUUUCUUGUAAUUACAAUUAGAUGUUUGAUUUUUUUUUUUUUUUUUUUUUUUUUAAUUUAUUCACUGGGAGCCCAAAAUGACCGAAAUAACAUUGCAGUCUAUACAACAGAAGUAAUCGUCCUAUUGACUAAUCAAAUUUAGUAAAAACUCGUGGUGGAGAAUACUCGAACUCAAAAGCUCCACUCCUCAUGUAAUCGAGAAGACUAAUCAUACCGGAUUGACAACUAUCUAUUUAAUUUUUAUUUUUCUAAAGAAAAAUCAUGUAUAUUUUCUGAAAAUUCAUAAAGAGAAAUAACCCAUAUGAGGUUUGACUUCAAAAUUAGAUCCAAAUUUAAUACAUUAAAUUUAUUAAUUACAAUUAGAUAUUUGAUUUUCUUUUAAAGAAAAAUCAUCUAUAUUUUCUGAAAAUUCAUAAAUAAAAAUAACCAAAUAUAUUUAUAAUUCUUGAUAUCCUUGCCUUAUCCAUCUGGCGUCUAGGCUUAUCCUUGACCUUGAUAGCUAGCAUUCCUUCACGUUUUCACGUAAUUGAAUUGAAAGAAGUCAUACAUUUGAUCAUUAAUUUAAACCUAUUUAUUUCCCAGUCAAUAAAAACAACAAACUGAAAAUAGGGAGAAGGAAAGUUUAUCUGUUCACUUUGCAGGAAAAAAUGAAUAAGGAUCUAAAUGUUUUUUUAUUGUCAAGACCUUUACAUAUCAAUACUCUCUUUUUUUAUUAAAAUUCAAUUAUGGCUUCUAGAUAACAAAUGAAAAUUUUAUAUCGUUUGUGUUUCUCUAGUCCAAGUAUAAAUAAUUAAUCUACCUUUGAUCAAAUUAGAAUAAAUAAGUGGCGCAAUAGCUAGGUAAAUGCACGGAAAAGAUAAAAAAAAGACUUAUGCUAAUUAAUAAUAUUGAAUUAUAGAUAAGACAUGACUAUAUCCAGUGUAGGUAAGUUUUUUUCGGUAUAAGUAAGUCUUUCUCGGUGUAGGUAAGUCUUUAGUCAUAAACACCCUCGUUUCAAAAAAUAAUAAUAAUAAUUUUGAUUAAUUUUAGUGUAUCAUAUACCUGAUAUAUAUAGGUCUUUUCCGAAUUUCACAUGUAAGUAUGGCGGCUUUCUAUCAACAUGUGAAAAUGGAGUGACAUUGGUUAUUAACAAAAUUAAGCAAGAAGAAUUAUGGGAAGCGCAGUGUAGAAAAAGAUUAAAGCAAAACUAGAAAAAAUAAUUCGUUUGUAGUCAAAAGCCGACGCAAAUAUAUUUCUUUAUGGAAUCAUGUAAUGCAUCUAGAAAGUUGCCUGCUGUUUGUUCUCUAUUUACAACCACCAUUCACGGCAACCUAUCCAUCACAAACUAGAUAUUUCUUUACGGAGUGUUUACCACUAAUAGUCUGCUUCAUUGGUGUUUUCUUUUUCUUUUUGUUUAGUUUCCAUCAAGAUGUAAUAUUUUUAUUGUCCAUUUAUAUAGGUGAGGUUAAUUUAAAUUUAGGUUAAGAAUGAUAUUUAGAUAGGGUCUUUAGCGAUUUUAAAUUUUAAAUUAUAAAAUUCGCUUAAAAAUAUAAUUCAUUUUAGCUGAUAAAUAGUUCUUUUUCUUUCAUGUUAAUUUGAAUAAAAUAUUUAAAUUAAACUUUAAAGAUUUAUAUAGUGUGUAUGACAAAGUGAAUUAAUUAAUUCAAUUUGGUUUGAAUAUUAAUACUCCUAUUAUCCCAAGCUAUGAUGUAGAUAAACUUUCCGCUGUACAACAUUCCCGCCUUUUAUUUUCUUGUAAAAAAUCUCUCUCCCUCUCUUUUUUUUUUUAAUGUAAACUUAUAUUUAAAAUGUUUUUUCCUCUUAUUUUUAUAUUUUUGCAUUCUCGUUUCCGUGCUACAUAGGUUGCAAAAUUAGAAUUAUCAACUAUGCGGGUGGUAAAUAGUAACCUCACUGCACGGUUCUAUGUGUUUAGCACUCUAGACUUUGAAUCCUGCGACUUGUAUAAAACGUAAUAUCCCUCUUGGUUUGGAGUAGAUUUUUGAAAAUGUUAAACUUUUCAUUUUAUUUUUAAUUUUAAUAAAAAAAAUAUUUUGUUGUUGAUGAAAAGAAAAAAAUAGUAACCCCAUUGAUCUUUAACUAGGCUAAGAUUUGCUAGUAUAUUAACCACUAGCCAAACCAUUAAGCAUAUAAGAUAAAAGGGAAAGAUUUAUUUACACUAAACGUAAACACCCAAUAUGUAUAAUAGUACAAUUGAUCUACGUAGAGUUACAGUAUUUAAUGAAUAUUAUGGUUGUCUUUUCAUUGAAAAGAAAAUUAAGUAACAAAACAGUAAUAAAGGAAGUCAAUUUCUCGGUAUCAAUUAACUAUUCACUAAGCGUAUGAGAUACAUAAAUAAUAUAAUCGUCAAUCAGGUAUGGUGGUCUGAUUGGUCUUUCUACUUAUGUGAAGAGUGAGAAGUUUCGAGUUCGAGUUCUCUCGAUCACAAUUGAUUUCACCAAUUUGGUGAGAUAAAGGGAGCGUUAUCCUCUGUUGUGUAGCCUGCAGUAUAAUUUCGACUUAUAGAAACCCUCCAAUGAAUUAAAAAAAAAAAAGUAGGAUAAACAUAGUUCGAUAAUUUUUGCAAAUAUCUAUUUUAUUUAAAUAAUUAUUAUUUUUAUAAAUAUAUUAUAUUUCCUACUCAAAUAAUUGAUUUAAUUAUAUUCUUACAAUAUUAUUUAUGAGUUAAAUUUUANNNNNNNNNNNNNNNNNNNNNNNNNNNNNNNNNNNNNNNNNNNNNNNNNNNNNNNNNNNNNNNNNNNNNNNNNNNNNNNNNNNNNNNNNNNNNNNNNNNNNNNNNNNNNNNNNNNNNNNNNNNNGUGUACUUUGGUUCUAAUAUCAUUGAUAAAAAGUUAACCACACCGUGAAUACUUAUAGUAUAUAUAGCAAAAGUGAAUUAAUUAAUGCAAGUAACCCUAUUGGUCUUUAAAUAGACUAAUUAAGCUUUGGUAGUGCAAGCCACUAGCCAAACCAUUAAUACAAUUUUUUGGGUUAAGCCAUUAAUACAAUAUUUUGACUAUUGAGAAGUAACCCUAAAAAUUCUUCAUUAGAAGAUUUGCUAUAGCCAAUUAGCCAUUAAUCUUCAAUUGAUAAUCUCAAUUAAGUUACCAAAAAGAUUUCUAUUAGGAUAUCAAAUCAAAGGCCAAACCUGUAAUUUCACCCCGAACUUUUCUAGUAGUUGAAAUUUCACUAUAAAUCGAUAUUUAUACUCUUUGAAUUUAUCAACUAGUUAUAAUUACACCAUAAUUUAAAUUAAUAUCCAAUUCAUUAUUUUUGCAUCUUAAAAUUGGCUCAAUUUUAAAAUAAAAUAUUCAACCUUGAUUAUUUAUUUAUUUAUCAUAUGCAUACUUGAGUUUGAUUUUAUUAUUUAUUGUUUAAAUACUUGGUUAUGGAGUUCAUUUUUUUACAUAACUUUAAUCAAAAUUUCAAUCUUAGUUUAUUUUUAGGGUGCACUUGCAAUAAAUUGCAGUUCAGGAUGUUGUAAUUCACUUUUAGAGUGCAGUAGCAAAUUAGGGUAUAAUUGUAAGUAGGGUGAUAAGUUCAUUGUGCUCAAGGUACAAAAGUUGAUUUAGAGUAAAAUAUAACUAUUUAAAAAGUUCAGGGUAAAAUUGAAGGUGGCCAACAGAUUCGAACUCAAGAUCUUUACUCCCACAUAUAGUUUCUUUAAUUAUUAAUACGUACAUGCGAACUAAAAUAUUAUUCCAUCAUCAAAAUUACUGCAUACAACAAAACAAACUUAGUGUAAUAACCAUUAAUAGAAUUUAAUUUAAUAAGGUCGCUCCCCCAAGAACAUUACUGGCCGGAUCAUACAUGUAAGCAACCAAAGUUCCUCCGAAGGUACACCUAACCCUAGCACAUCCUACACGAGCUGAAUUUCGCCAAACGACUUGAAUGUAGUGACUAAAUAUUUUCCUGUAGUACGUGUUAGAACUAUAAGCAUAAAAAGAUUUCUCAUCAAUGCAUAGUUUCACAGCUUCAUCUGCGGUUAGCUCACCACAGCUCCAUGCCAGACUUUAUCGCACUGCAAUCACUAAUGCGUUGACAAGCAUGGAUUAGUGAAUGGAUUGCUAAUAAUGUACUGUUCCAAGUUAAAUUUCCAGAACCGGCAGCCAUUCGAGCUUCAUUGUGGAAAAUAAUGUAGUCCUGUGGCGAGUUUGAUUUGUUUAAAAAGAACCAAGUUUGAGCAUAUAGUGGACUAUGCUCCUUUUAAAAAGAGCUAAAUUUUGAGCUCGGCCAAUUUGCAAUUUUUAACUAAAAACUGUGAUUCAUUACAUUUGAAUUUGAGCUCAAGAUUAUAAUGAACAGGCUUGCGAGUUGACUAGGAAUUUCUUUUUGGAAUCCACACAAAAUGGAAAAAAAAAUUAUUUUUGAAUUCUUUGGAAAGGAGAGAGAUAUAUGGUUGUUUUUUUUUUUUUUUUUUUUUAAAAAAAAAUCGAAAUAGGGAUAAAGGUUUAGUAAAAAAAUCCAAAUAGGGAUGUCAAAUUGUUAAAACUUAUCAGAUAAUUUAAUAAGCCAUCUUAACUUAUUUAAUUAAUUAUUAUAAUUAGAUGAGUUGACGGUAAUGAAGCAAAUUGUUAGAUAACCAUCUUAACCCUUUACAUACAUAGAUUAACAUUAGUCAAGUAUUUUUUUUAAAACUUAUCAAAUUAAUUCCCAAUAUUGAAACUUAACUAAGACGUUCCAGCGGAAAUCUCAAACCGUUUAUACUUUUCUUAUUUCAUUAUAUAUAAUAUAUAGCUUAUACAUAAAAAAGUUCAAUUUUGAGGUAAUACUUCAACUUAAUAAGGACGCUCCCCAAUGUAGUUGCCAGGAGGAUCAUAGUUGCAAGUAAUGAAAGUUCCUCCAUUAUUGCACCUCACCUUCGCACAUCCUAUGCGAACUGACUUACGCCAAACCACCUGAAUGUAAUGCCCACACACAGCAGCACAACUAUUAGAGUUAUAAUUGUAAAAUGGCUUUUCAUCAACCCAUAGUUUUACAGCUUCGGUGCCUGAAAGAUCACCGCUACCCCAAGCUAUGUUCUCUCCAUAAGACCCCUUCGAAUGCACGAGGCUACAGUCACCGAUGCGUUGAUUUGCAUAAUUUUUGGCAUAAGCCGCCACACUAUGAAAGAAGAAAAAGAGAGAGAAGAAAUUGAAAAACAAAAGAGAGUAAAAAGCGAAGCUGAAAAGAAGAAAGAAAAAGGAAAAGGGAAGUUGGAAGAAAUAGUAAAAGAAGAGAGGAAAUCAGAAGAGAAAGAAGAGGAAAAGGAAUCAGCAGAAAAGGCUGAAGAAGAAGAAGAAGGAACACAAGAAGAGGAACUAGAAGAGGAAAGAAAAGAAGAAACAGAAAAAGAAAGCACUGUAGAGAAAGAAGAAUCAGAAAAAGGAACAGAAAAAGAGAAAGAACAUGAAGAACCAGAAAAAGGGAAGAAAGCUGAGGAAGGCAGCGAUGCUGAAACAGAGAAAAUAGAAAUCAGUGAUGAGGAAAAGACUACUGAGGAUAAGACAGAGCUAGAGUCUGAGUUAUUAUCGGCUCAAAGGAGUAGGGAAGCUAUGCUGAAGAGAAUAGAGGAAGAGCUAAUAGAAGAACACAACAAGGAAAUUGAUGAGGCAAUACAGCAGUGUCAAACUAUUAUUGAACAAAAUCAAUCACUCAUCAAAACCUUGGAGAAAAUGAAGGAUGUGAACAUGAGGAAGUUAGCUACUCUAAAGGUGAAAGGAACACCCUACGUUCCCUCCUCAGAAAAGCCAAAGACUGUGAAGCAUACUGCUGGCAAGCAUAGAACACAUGGAAGAAAGCCUCCACUGCAUCCAUCUUCUAAAAGGCCAGAGAGUUCUUCUGAAACUGCUCCAGCUCAGCCUUUAAGACGUUCUAAAAGACUUAGAACUGGUCCUAAGCCUCUUUGAUCUGUCUCUUAUAUAUCUUGAACAAAUUAUUUUUAUUUUAUCUUCGUAGGAUUAUAUUUUGUGGAACUGUUUAUUUUUAUUAUUUUUGCUGUGACUAUGUCUAACCCUUUUUAUAUGAUGACAAAAAGGGGGAGAACAGGUAUUUUGGUGAUAUUUUGAACACUAUUGGUACGUACUUGGCAAUUGGCAAUCACAAGGACUUUUAUGGACUUAUAUUUUAGUGGUUAUCUGUGUGUUUAUUGUUUUCUAAUAUGGCCUAUUUUUGGUGAGCUAUAUUUUCUAAAGCUGUGUGUUUUUAGAACUAAGAUUCUUAUUCUAACGACUGUUUUGCAGGUUGGACGUAAGAUCUUUCGCUCUAUUUUUAUCAGCUUCUAUUCUAUUUUAUUGCUGUGACCAUAUGUUCUAAAUAUUAGAACUUAGAAUAUCCUAUUUAUCUUUGCUAGUUCUAACACUUGUGCUCUGAUUGCUAGAACUUAGAAUAUCUUGUCUAUUCUUUUGCAAGUUCUAAAAUCAUUUUCUAAAAAGACUCCCUAGUUUUUAAUUUUCACAAAAAUGUUUUACUGCAUCUAUUCAGGGGGAGCAAACUACAUGUUCUAAAUUNNNNNNNNNNNNNNNNNNNNNNNNNNNNNNNNNNNNNNNUAUGCAUAAAAUUCAGGGGGAGCACAUGUUUUUAUAUUUGCUAAAUUUAUUGGUUUUGUCAUCAUCAAAAAGGGGGAGAUUGUUGGCUCAAGGGUCAAAUCUCGGAUUUUGAUGAUUAAUACAAAACAAAUAAAUUUAAAUUAUAUUAUUUGUGCUAAUUUUAUUUUAUGCAAAAAUCCUUUGGAAAGAAAAUCAUACAAGGCAAGUCCUACUUUGAGUGUAAAGAUUUCUAAGACCCAGUAGCUAGGUAUUUAGGGUAUUUUGUAAGAUAGAGAGAAAUUCCAUAUAUGAGCACAUAAAAUAUUUUUCUCUCACUCAAAAAUAUUUUUCGGAAAAUUAGUUUUCUUCAAAUAAUUUAUUUUCGAAAAUAUUCCUUUAAAUCGAAAAGAUUUAUUUUCCUAAAACUAUAGAGAUUUCUUCUCUUAAUGUUUUUGGUAAUAAAAAUCUUUUUCUUUUUCGGAAAUAUUUGUUUGAAAAGUAGAAUUUAUUCUCUUACCUUAAAAACGAAAGGGAAUAUCUUUCGGUUUUAGUAAGAACAUCUUUUCCGCAAAUAAUUCUCUCCAAAUAUUGCUGUCGAAAAUUUCUUAUUUAAAGGAAAGCAAAACCGGGUUUUAUUCUCUUACCAAAAGAGAUGAAAUAAUCUUUUGGUAACAAAAUUUUCGAUUUUGUUUUGUUUAAGGAAUGAAGAUAUUCUAAUUUCAAAACAAAAUUAUCUCUUUCCAAAAGCGACAGCUACUUAGCUUCCUAUAUAAAGAAACAUUCACGCCUUAUUCAUUUGGUGAAGUAAGAGUAUUUGUUUUAAGAGCACUCUCUCUCAUUGAACGAAUCAUAUUCUCUCAAAAGUUACUCUACUCCCAUUUUCUUUUCAUCUCUACACUUAACGUUUUUAUAUUCAAAGUGAAAAGAAUUUUUACAAUUGCUUUUGAAAAACAAUUCUGUGUUGUAAUCGAUCUUCUAAUCUGAUAAAAUUGUUUUUCCUGUGCUUAUAUAGGCGUUUCUUUCUGUCUAUUUAGANNNNNNNNNNNNNNNNNNNNNNNNNNNNNNNNNNNNNNNNNNNNNNNNNNNNNNNNNNNNNNNNNNNNNNNNNNNNNNNNNNNNNNNNNNNNNNNNNNNNNNNNNNNNNNNNNNNNNNNNNNNNNNNNNNNNNNNNNNNNNNNNNNNNNNNNNNNNNNNNNNNNNNNNNNNNNNNNNNNNNNNNNNNNNNNNNNNNNNNNNNNNNNNNNNNNNNNNNNNNNNNNNNNNNNNNNNNNNNNNNNNNNNNNNNNNNNNNNNNNNNNNNNNNNNNNNNNNNNNNNNNNNNNNNNNNNNNNNNNNNNNNNNNNNNNNNNNNNNNNNNNNNNNNNNNNNNNNNNNNNNNNNNNNNNNNNNNNNNNNNNNNNNNNNNNNNNNNNNNNNNNNNNNNNNNNNNNNNNNNNNNNNNNNNNNNNNNNNNNNNNNNNNNNNNNNNNNNNNNNNNNNNNNNNNNNNNNNNNNNNNNNNNNNNNNNNNNNNNNNNNNNNNNNNNNNNNNNNNNNNNNNNNNNNNNNNNNNNNNNNNNNNNNNNNNNNNNNNNNNNNAUUUCUAUUUUAUUCUCUAAACUUUAUGAGGAUGUUCUAAUCCUGAUAACUUUCCAUCAUAAAGUUACUCUAAUAUUUAAUUAAGGCUCUGUGGAGUAGUUCUGAAUUGUAAAAACUAUCUUUCACAUAGCGUUAUCUGGUUUUGCAAACUUUAUGAGGAAGUUCUGAGUUCGAUAACUUUCCUUCAUAAAGAAGCUCUGAUAUUGUACAAGUCAGUGUGAAGCUGUUCUAAUCAAUAGCUGCACUUUGCACAGACUUUCUAUAUCUGAAAUUAAAUUAGAACAUUGUGAGGAGAUUCUAAUCCAUAUUCUACUCUCACAAAGUUCUGUAUGUUUUCCGCUGCACUUAGAAUUCUAAUUUUUAUUUAGAAUUUCUAAAAUUUAUUUCAGUUUUUAGAAAACUCAAUUCACCCCCCUUUUGGGUUGUGCCAUACAUAUUCGGGACUCACAUUAUUAGUUGCAACUAUUAUCCUCCAGGGAACUAUGUGGGUGAGAAGCCUUAUUGAAUUUCUAUUGGUUAGAGAGGGAUUAAUGAAAUAGGGCUAAUUAAUUAGCUUCGAUUAAUUAAUAUUUAAUAAUUACAAAACGAAUUAAUCAAACUGCUAUAUAUCAUAUUAAUGCAAGCAAUAUAUAUUUGUAAUAUGUAUCAGAGAAAUAUUUUUCUUGCUAUAUAUCAAUGAAACUGCGAACUUGCUUUAAUUAUUACAGUUUUUUUUUUUUCAAUUUUAACAUUAAAAUUGGUGAAAAAAUCUUGUGGUUGACAGGACUCAAUUUGAGAUAUUUCAUUCUUGACAUAAGUGACAAAACUAUAAGAGUUAAAAUAUUUUACCAUUAAAAGUAACUUUUAAAAUUUGCAAUCUUCACUGUUAAUAGCAACUUAUAAAAUUUUUCUAAACGAAAUCACAGUUGUGAAACUGCUAAUUUUGAUUUUAAAGAAGGAUGAAACCAAAAUAGAAUUGUUUAUGUAUGAUCCCAAACAAGCUAUUAUGGUUUUGGUUAAGAUCCCAUAUUUUUUUUUUAAAAUUUUUUAGUUUUAUAACAUGGAUUAAAAAACUUAGUCAUUUAAAUAUUAAACCAAAUUAACUUGUCCUGACUUCAAAAGGGACAAUAAUACGAGAUAGUGUCUUUAUGCACAAUAAAUUUAUAGAAUGCAUGUAAGUUAAUAUUUAUACAAAAUACCUAAUAAAAUUAAAUAAAUAAAAAGAAAUUAUAUCAAUCAGGUGGUGGUUUGGUUGGUCUUCUUAUUUAUUGAGGAGCGAGAGUUCUUAAGUUUGAGUUCUCUUGAUAAAAAUUUUUAAUGAGAAAUAUAAUUCCUAUAAUGAGGAACAAGCAUGUGCAACACUAUGUACUAAAUGGUACUAAAUUUUAAAAUUUGACUAUAGAAGCACUCAAUUUUAUUUGAUGUAUUUGCAAUAAUUCCUAUUUAAUAUGUUAAAAUAUCCUACUCAACCCUUGCUAAUUCCACAAAUUAAACGCUUAAUGAAUUUGUUGGUCAAUUUUGAUAUCAAGGAGACAUAGUCAUCUCUUCCCCUAGAAAAAGCAAAAAGAAAAAGAAAGAGAUGUGAUAAUUUCUGUAUGCAAGAUAAACGACCCAUAGAAAUAUGAAUUUGACUUGUUUCAUAAAGGAAAACAUAUAUAUACUACAGAAAAUAACUUGCGCCACAAAUUCCUUUUUCUUUUUCAGUAUUGGUGAUUCCGUUUCUGUUGGGAUUCAAAUAAUUUAUACGUUGGGCGGUUAAUUUUUUGUUAGCAUAAUAUCUAAUGGCCAAAAAAAAAAAGAAGAGUAAAGAUAACAUUUUAUUUUCCUUUUACAUAUAUAUAUAUAUAUAUAUAUAUAUAUAUAUAUAGAUGAACUACAAGUAGUUUUUCAACUUGUCAUAUUAAUUCUCCACAUUGCAACUUAAAUUGAGACAUUGCAUAGGAAAUCUCAACCCUUUACAAUGUUUCUUAUUUCAUUAUAUGAUAUAUAAUUUAUUCUUAAAAAGUUAAAACUUUAAGGUAAUACUUCAAUCUAAUAAGGACGCUGUCCAACGUAGUUGCCAGGAGGGUCAUAGUUGCAGGUAAUGAAAGUUCCUCCAUUGUUGCACUUCACCUUAGCACAUCCUAUGCGAACUGAGUUACGCCAAACCACCUGAGUGUAAUGCCCACACACCUUUCCGGCAGCACAAGUAUUAGAGUUAUAGUCGUAAAACGCCUUUUCAUCAACCCACAGUUUCACAGCCGCGGGGUCUGAAAGGUCACCACUGCUCCCUGCUAGGUUCUCGCCAUAAGGUCCGCCUGAAUGUACAAGUCUACAGUCGCCAAUGUGUUGAUUAGCGUAAUUUCUUGCAUAGGCCGCCACCGUGUUAUCCCAAGUCACCGGACCAACUCCCACGGCCGCUCGAGCUGUGUUAUGGGCAUUCACGUAGUCUUGAGGUGAGUCUUGGGCAUGUAAGGGAAUAAUUAAGGUUACACUCAUUAGACAAAUGAGGGGCAAUAAAAUUUUGGACAACAUCGUUUUUGGUUUGUGAUGGAAAAUAAG
rnacentral:lncRNA from 1 species